ensembl:lncRNA
CUUCCAGUAAUGGCCAAUGCUAUUGCUGCUUUCCAAGCCAGUGGCAGGAGGUUACCCCCAGGAACUACCUAGUCCCUGAAAUCAUUUACCAGCCAACUAGCUCCCUUCCAUAGGCAGAGAUGAGGUAUAAACACACGCCCAUGAGAGAGAAAAAAAGCAAUGACUCAAAUUCAUAUGCACAUAGAAAUGAUUUUUUUGAGAGCAAGUUGUAAGAAGUGGGGAUAAAGACAGAACGAGGCAAAUGGAUAUUCAUAAAAGAAGGAUUCGAAGAGGCGUAUGGUGGGAGAGGGCAUUGAGGGCACUGAAGAUAAAGUUUUCCAAGUUUUUAAAUUUGCCAUGUUCGCUGGCUGAAGUCAUGGUUAAUUUUUUUCUCAUUACAGCUUUGAUUUUCAGAAAAGAUACAAUACCAUAUAUGGUAGCAGAUCAGCGACAUACUUUUUGGUCUGGUUUUUAUUUAACCAAGAAGAGCCUCCAAAGGUUUGAUGUAAGUUGGGGAUCCAUACCUCCACCACAUCGCUUUGAACAUCAGUAUCCACUUCAGCAUGACUUUCAUGAUUUUGAUCCUCCGGCCCUUGAAGAAAUGCUACUUGGAACAUAUGAGUGUGGAGCAUGCCAUCCCACCGGGGGAUAUCAUUUCCUGGGGGUGUUUGCCUGAUUGUACAACUCCUACCAUAGUUUUUAAAAUCAAAUCUACAUGGUACCUCUAUUGUUUUUGCACUUAUUUUCUUUGCUGAGGAAGAUUCACCCUGAGCUAACAUCCAUUGCUAAUCCUCCUCUUUCUUUUUUUUGCUUUAGGAAGAUUAGCCCUGAACUAACAACUAUGCCAACCUUCCUCUUUUUUUUGUAUGUGAGACACCUCCACAGUGCAUCUGGUGAGUGGAGCAUGUCUGCACCUGGGAUCUGAAACUGUGAACCAGGGCGCCAAAGCAGAGUGCAAUUUUUGCAUUUUUAUAUCUUCUUAUUGUGUUCUAAUUUGUUUAUUUUUCUGACUUCACUAAACUCAAAGGCUAGGUUAUGCCUAUUUCUUCUUUCCCUUUUGAGUUGUCUACCAUUAAAACUUAAGAUUCAUUAGGAAAGAUAUUCUGUGCUCAUGGAUUGGAAAAAUUAACAUGGUCAAAAUGUCCAUAAUAUCUAAGGCAAUCUACAGGUUCAAUGCAAUCCCAAUGACAUUUUUCACAGAAAUAGAACAAAGAAUCCUAAAAUUUAUGAGGAACAACAAACUGAACAGCCAAAGCAAUAAAAAGAACAAUCUGGAGGCAUCACACUCCCUGAUUUCAAAAUAUGCUACAAAGCUAUAGUAACCAAAACAGCAUGGAAUUAGCAGAAAAACAGACACACACAUCAAUGGAACAGAAUUGAGAGCUCAGAAAUAAACCUACACAUCUAUAGAUAGCUAAUUUUCAACAAAGGAGCCAAAAACCUACAAUGGAGAAAGUCUCUUCCAUAAAUGGUGUUGGGAAAACUGGACAGCCACAUGCAAAUAAUGAAAGUAGACCAUUAUCUUACACCAUACACAAAAAGUAACUCAAAAUUGAUUAAAGACUUGAAUGUAAGACCUGGAACCAUUAAACUUCUACAAGAAAACAUAGGCAAUAUGCUCUUUGACACAGGUCUUAGCGGUAUCUUUUUGAAUAUCAUGUCUCCUCAGGCAAGGAAAAGAAAAGAAAAGGUAAACAAGUGGCACUACAUCAAACUAAAAAGCUUCUACAUGGCAUAGGAAGCCAUCAACAAAAUGAAAAGACAACACACCAACAGGGAGAAAAUAUUUGCAAAUUGUAUAUCCAAUAAGGGGUUAAUAUCCAAACUAUAUAAAGGACUUAUACAACUCAACAACAACAACAAAUCC